CCUACGGGAGGCAGCAGUGGGGAAUAUUGCACAAUGGGGGAAACCCUGAUGCAGCGACGCCGCGUGAGUGAAGAAGGAUCUCGGUAUGUAAAGCUCUAUCAGCAGGGAAGAAAAUGACGGUACCUGAUUAAGAAGCCCCGGCUAACUACGUGCCAGCAGCCGCGGUAAUACGUAGGGGGCAAGCGUUAUCCGGAUUUACUGGGUGUAAAGGGAGCGUAGACGGCAGCACAAGUCUGGAGUGAAAUGCCGGGGCUUAACCCCGGAACUGCUUUGGAAACUGUGCAGCUUGAGUGCAGGAGAGGUAAGUGGAAUUCCUAGUGUAGCGGUGAAAUGCGUAGAUAUUAGGAGGAACACCAGUGGCGAAGGCGGCUUACUGGACUGUAACUGACGUUGAGGCUCGAAAGCGUGGGGAGCAAACAGGAUUAGAUACCCUGGUAGUC
rnacentral:rRNA from 1 species